UACGAAGGGGGCUAGCGUUGCUCGGAAUCACUGGGCGUAAAGCGCACGUAGGCGGAUUGUUAAGUCAGGGGUGAAAUCCUGGAGCUCAACUCCAGAACUGCCUUUGAUACUGGGAGACUUGAGUCCGGGAGAGGUGAGUGGAACUGCGAGUGUAGAGGUGAAAUUCGUAGAUAUUCGCAAGAACACCAGUGGCGAAGGCGGCUCACUGGCCCGGUACUGACGCUGAGGUGCGAAAGCGUGGGGAGCAAACAGG
rnacentral:rRNA from 1 species